rnacentral:rRNA from 1 species
UACAGAGGGUGCAAGCGUUAAUCGGAGUUACUGGGCGUAAAGGGCGCGUAGGCGGUCGUAUAAGUGAGAUGUGAAAGCCCUGGGCUUAACCUAGGAAUUGCAUCUUAUACUGUAUGACUGGAGUACUGUAGAGGGUAGUGGAAUUUCCGGUGUAGCGGUGAAAUGCGUAGAGAUCGGAAGGAACACCAGUGGCGAAGGCGGCUACCUGGACAGAUACUGACGCUGAGGCGCGAGAGCGUGGGGAGCAAACAGG